rnacentral:rRNA from 1 species
GAUGAACGCUGGCGGCGUGCCUAAUACAUGCAAGUCGAGCGAACAGACGAGGAGCUUGCUCCUCUGACGUUAGCGGCGGACGGGUGAGUAACACGUGGAUAACCUACCUAUAAGACUGGGAUAACUUCGGGAAACCGGAGCUAAUACCGGAUAAUAUAUUAAACCGCAUGGUUCAUUAUUGAAAGACGGUUUUGCUGUCACUUAUAGAUGGAUCCGCGCCGCAUUAGCUAGUUGGUAAGGUAACGGCUUACCAAGGCAACGAUGCGUAGCCGACCUGAGAGGGUGAUCGGCCACACUGGAACUGAGACACGGUCCAGACUCCUACGGGAGGCAGCAGUAGGGAAUCUUCCGCAAUGGGCGAAAGCCUGACGGAGCAACGCCGCGUGAGUGAUGAAGGUCUUCGGAUCGUAAAACUCUGUUAUUAGGGAAGAACAAAUGUGUAAGUAACUAUGCACGUCUUGACGGUACCUAAUCAGAAAGCCACGGCUAACUACGUG